rnacentral:rRNA from 1 species
GGUUAAGCGACUAAGCGUACACGGUGGAUGCCCUGGCAGUCAGAGGCGAUGAAGGACGUGCUAAUCUGCGAUAAGCGUCGGUAAGGUGAUAUGAACCGUUAUAACCGGCGAUUUCCGAAUGGGGAAACCCAGUGUGAUUCGUCACACUAUCAUUAACUGAAUCCAUAGGUUAAUGAGGCGAACCGGGGGAACUGAAACAUCUAAGUACCCCGAGGAAAAGAAAUCAACCGAGAUUCCCCCAGUAGCGGCGAGCGAACGGGGAGGAGCCCAGAGCCUGAAUCAGUGUGUGUGUUAGUGGAAGCGUCUGGAAAGGCGCGCGAUACAGGGUGACAGCCCCGUACACAAAAAUGCACAUGCUGUGAGCUCGAUGAGUAGGGCGGGACACGUGGUAUCCUGUCUGAAUAUGGGGGGACCAUCCUCCAAGGCUAAAUACUCCUGACUGACCGAUAGUGAACCAGUACCGUGAGGGAAAGGCGAAAAGAACCCCGGCGAGGGGAGUGAAAAAGAACCUGAAACCGUGUACGUACAAGCAGUGGGAGCCUCUUUAUGGGGUGACUGCGUACCUUUUGUAUAAUGGGUCAGCGACUUAUAUUCUGUAGCAAGGUUAACCGAAUAGGGGAGCCGAAGGGAAACCGAGUCUUAACUGGGCGUUAAGUUGCAGGGUAUAGACCCGAAACCCGGUGAUCUAGCCAUGGGCAGGUUGAAGGUUGGGUAACACUAACUGGAGGACCGAACCGACUAAUGUUGAAAAAUUAGCGGAUGACUUGUGGCUGGGGGUGAAAGGCCAAUCAAACCGGGAGAUAGCUGGUUCUCCCCGAAAGCUAUUUAGGUAGCGCCUCGUGAAUUCAUCUCCGGGGGUAGAGCACUGUUUCGGCAAGGGGGUCAUCCCGACUUACCAACCCGAUGCAAACUGCGAAUACCGGAGAAUGUUAUCACGGGAGACACACGGCGGGUGCUAACGUCCGUCGUGAAGAGGGAAACAACCCAGACCGCCAGCUAAGGUCCCAAAGUCAUGGUUAAGUGGGAAACGAUGUGGGAAGGCCCAGACAGCCAGGAUGUUGGCUUAGAAGCAGCCAUCAUUUAAAGAAAGCGUAAUAGCUCACUGGUCGAGUCGGCCUGCGCGGAAGAUGUAACGGGGCUAAACCAUGCACCGAAGCUGCGGCAGCGACGCUUAUGCGUUGUUGGGUAGGGGAGCGUUCUGUAAGCCUGCGAAGGUGUACUGUGAGGUAUGCUGGAGGUAUCAGAAGUGCGAAUGCUGACAUAAGUAACGAUAAAGCGGGUGAAAAGCCCGCUCGCCGGAAGACCAAGGGUUCCUGUCCAACGUUAAUCGGGGCAGGGUGAGUCGACCCCUAAGGCGAGGCCGAAAGGCGUAGUCGAUGGGAAACAGGUUAAUAUUCCUGUACUUGGUGUUACUGCGAAGGGGGGACGGAGAAGGCUAUGUUGGCCGGGCGACGGUUGUCCCGGUUUAAGCGUGUAGGCUGGUUUUCCAGGCAAAUCCGGAAAAUCAAGGCUGAGGCGUGAUGACGAGGCACUACGGUGCUGAAGCAACAAAUGCCCUGCUUCCAGGAAAAGCCUCUAAGCAUCAGGUAACAUCAAAUCGUACCCCAAACCGACACAGGUGGUCAGGUAGAGAAUACCAAGGCGCUUGAGAGAACUCGGGUGAAGGAACUAGGCAAAAUGGUGCCGUAACUUCGGGAGAAGGCACGCUGAUAUGUAGGUGAAGNNNNNNGCGGAUGGAGCUGAAAUCAGUCGAAGAUACCAGCUGGCUGCAACUGUUUAUUAAAAACACAGCACUGUGCAAACACGAAAGUGGACGUAUACGGUGUGACGCCUGCCCGGUGCCGGAAGGUUAAUUGAUGGGGUUAGCGGUAACGCGAAGCUCUUGAUCGAAGCCCCGGUAAACGGCGGCCGUAACUAUAACGGUCCUAAGGUAGCGAAAUUCCUUGUCGGGUAAGUUCCGACCUGCACGAAUGGCGUAAUGAUGGCCAGGCUGUCUCCACCCGAGACUCAGUGAAAUUGAACUCGCUGUGAAGAUGCAGUGUACCCGCGGCAAGACGGAAAGACCCCGUGAACCUUUACUAUAGCUUGACACUGAACAUUGAGCCUUGAUGUGUAGGAUAGGUGGGAGGCUUUGAAGUGUGGACGCCAGUCUGCAUGGAGCCGACCUUGAAAUACCACCCUUUAAUGUUUGAUGUUCUAACGUUGGCCCCUAAUCGGGGUUGCGGACAGUGUCUGGUGGGUAGUUUGACUGGGGCGGUCUCCUCCUAAAGAGUAACGGAGGAGCACGAAGGUUGGCUAAUCCUGGUCGGACAUCAGGAGGUUAGUGCAAUGGCAUAAGCCAGCUUGACUGCGAGCGUGACGGCGCGAGCAGGUGCGAAAGCAGGUCAUAGUGAUCCGGUGGUUCUGAAUGGAAGGGCCAUCGCUCAACGGAUAAAAGGUACUCCGGGGAUAACAGGCUGAUACCGCCCAAGAGUUCAUAUCGACGGCGGUGUUUGGCACCUCGAUGUCGGCUCAUCACAUCCUGGGGCUGAAGUAGGUCCCAAGGGUAUGGCUGUUCGCCAUUUAAAGUGGUACGCGAGCUGGGUUUAGAACGUCGUGAGACAGUUCGGUCCCUAUCUGCCGUGGGCGCUGGAGAACUGAGGGGGGCUGCUCCUAGUACGAGAGGACCGGAGUGGACGCAUCACUGGUGUUCGGGUUGUCAUGCCAAUGGCACUGCCCGGUAGCUAAAUGCGGAAGAGAUAAGUGCUGAAAGCAUCUAAGCACGAAACUUGCCCCGAGAUGAGUUCUCCCUGACUCCCUGAGAGUCCUGAAGGAACGUUGAAGACGACGACGUUGAUAGGCCGGGUGUGUAAGCGCAGCGAUGCGUUGAGCUAACCGGUACUAAUGAACCGUGAGGCUUAACCUU